rnacentral:rRNA from 1 species
AGAGUUUGAUCAUGGCUCAGAUUGAACGCUGGCGGUAUGCUUAACACAUGCAAGUCGAACGGUAACAGCAAGAGCUUGCUCUUGGCUGACGAGUGGCGGACGGGUGAGUAACGCGUGGGAAUCUACCCAGAAGUUCGGGACAACCUGGUGAAAACCAGGCUAAUACCGAAUAAUAUCUACGGAUGAAAGGAGGGGCUCUUCGGACCUUUCGCUUUUGGAUGAGCCCGCGUUAGAUUAGCUAGUUGGUGGGGUAAAAGCCUACCAAGGCGACGAUCUAUAGCUGGUCUGAGAGGACGAUCAGCCACACUGGGACUGAGACACGGCCCAGACUCCUACGGGAGGCAGCAGUGGGGAAUAUUGGACAAUGGGGGCAACCCUGAUCCAGCAAUACCGCGUGUGUGAAGAAGGCCUGCGGGUUGUAAAGCACUUUCAAUUGUGAAGAAAAGAUUUAGGUUAAUAACCUGAGUCCUUGACGUUAACUUUAGAAGAAGCACCGGCUAACUCCGUGCCAGCAGCCGCGGUAAUACGGAGGGUGCGAGCGUUAAUCGGAAUUACUGGGCGUAAAGCGUGCGUAGGCGGUUAUUUAAGUCAGAUGUGAAAGCCCAGGGCUUAACCUUGGAACUGCAUUUGAAACUGGAUAACUAGAGUUUGGUAGAGGUGAGUAGAAUUCCUAGUGUAGCGGUGAAAUGCGUAGAUAUUAGGAGGAAUACCAGUGGCGAAGGCGGCUCACUGGACCAAAACUGACGCUGAGGCACGAAAGCGUGGGGAGCGAACGGGAUUAGAUACCCCGGUAGUCCACGCCGUAAACGAUGUCAACUAGUCGUUGGGCCUUUCGGGGCUUAAUGACGCAGCUAACGCGUGAAGUUGACCGCCUGGGGAGUACGGCCGCAAGGCUAAAACUCAAAUGAAUUGACGG